rnacentral:lncRNA from 1 species
GUCGUUUGACGUGUUUCGGACUAAAAGUGGGAAGUUUGAAAAUUUUGAACUUAGGAAUGAAAAUCAUGAGUUUUGGGGGUUGAUUUUGAUGUUAUUUUGGCGAUUUGAUCGCUCGAGCAAGUUCAUAGGAUGAUAUUGAGUUAGUGUGUGCAUUAUGUUGGGAGCCCCGAGGGCUUGAGGGUGAUUUUGGGGUGUCUCGGAGUGUUUUGAAACUUAG